AUGUGCCUACGGGGCGCAGCAGUCGGGAAUAUUGCGCAAUGGAGGAAACCCUGACGCAGUGACGCCGCGUAUAGGAAGAAGGUUUUCGGAUUGUAAACUAUUGUCGGUAGGGAAGAUAAAAGACUGUACCUAAGGAGGAAGCCCCGGCUAACUAUGUGCCAGCAGCCGCGGUAAUACAUAGGGGGCAAGCGUUAUCCGGAAUUAUUGGGUGUAAAGGGUGCGUAGACGGAGGAACAAGUCGGUUGUGAAAUCCCUCGGC
rnacentral:rRNA from 1 species